rnacentral:rRNA from 1 species
UACGUAGGGGGCAAGCGUUGUCCGGAAUCAUUGGGCGUAAAGCGCGCGUAGGCGGCCCUGUAAGUCCGCUGUAAAAGUCAAAGGCUCAACCUUUGAAAGCCGGUGGAUACUGCAGGGCUAGAGUCCGGAAGAGGCGAGUGGAAUUCCUGGUGUAGCGGUGGAAUGCGCAGAUAUCAGAAGGAACAUCAGUGGCGAAAGCGGCUUCCUGGUCCAGUACCGGCGUUCAGGCACGAAAGCGUGGGGAGCAAACAGG